UUAGCGGCGGACGGGUGAGUAACACGUGGGUAACCUGCCUGUAAGACUGGGAUAACUCCGGGAAACCGGGGCUAAUACCGGAUGGUUGUUUGAACCGCAUGGGUCAAACAUGAAAGGUGGCUUCGGCUACCACUUACAGAUGGACCCGCGGCGCAUUAGCUAGUUGGUGAGGUAACGGCUCACCAAGGCGACGAUGCGUAGCCGACCUGAGAGGGUGAUCGGCCACACUGGGACUGAGACACGGCCCAGACUCCUACGGGAGGCAGCAGUAGGGAAUCUUCCGCAAUGGACGAAAGUCUGACGGAGCAACGCCGCGUGAGUGAUGAAGGUUUUCGGAUCGUAAAGCUCUGUUGUUAGGGAAGAACAAGUACCGUUCGAAUAGGGCGGCACCUUGACGGUACCUAACCAGAAAGCCACGGCUAACUACGUGCCAGCAGCCGCGGUAAUACGUAGGUGGCAAGCGUUGUCCGGAAUUAUUGGGCGUAAAGGGCUCGCAGGCGGUUUCUUAAGUCUGAUGUGAAAGCCCCCGGCUCAACCGGGGAGGGUCAUUGGAAACUGGGGAACUUGAGUGCAGAAGAGGAGAGUGGAAUUCCACGUGUAGCGGUGAAAUGCGUAGAGAUGUGGAGGAACACCAGUGGCAAAGGCGACUCUCUGGUCUGUAACUGACGCUGAGGAGCGAAAGCGUGGGGAGCGAACAGGAUUAGAUACCCUGGGUAGUCCACGCCGUAAACGAUGAGU
rnacentral:rRNA from 1 species